GAAGGGAUUGUUUAUGAGGGUCAAGGAGCUGGAGGCCUGGGGAGGAGCUGGUGUUUCUGUUCAAGUUUGAGGGUCCUGGAGCUGGAGCCCAGGGGAGGAGCCAGUGCUGCCACUGAUGUCUUAGGGUCGUGGAGCUGAAGAUCCCAGAGGAGCCGGUGCUGCUAUUCUAGCUUGAGUUUCGUGGAGCUGGAGACCCAGGGAGAAGAUGGUGCUGCUGUUCUAAUUUAAGGAUCGUGAAACAGAAGACCCAGAAAGGAGCUGGUGCUGCCGCUGCUCAGAUCUGAGGGUGUUGGAGCUGGAGCCUGGGGGUGGAGCCAUUGCUGCCAUUGAAGUGUGAGAGUCAUUGAGCUGGAAGUCCAGGAAGCAGCUGGUGCUGCUGUUCUAGUUUGAGGGUUGUGGAGUGCAGACCCAGGCAGGAGCAACAUUGCUGUAGUUCGAGGGUCAGAAAGCUGGCGACCCAGGGAGGAGAGGUCUUGUUCUGGUCUGAGGGUCGUGGAGCUGCAGACCCAGGGAGGAGCAAUUUUGUUGUAAUUCAAGGGUCCGGUAGCUGGCAACCCAGGGAAGAGAAGUGUUGUUGGAGUUUGAGGGUCGUGGAGCUGCCGACCCAGGGAGGAGCAGUUUGGUUGUAAUUCGAGGGUCAGGAAGCUGGCGACCCAGGGGAGGAGAGGUCUUCUUCUGGUCUGAGGGUCGUGGAGCUGCAGACCCAGGGAGGAGCAAUGUUGUUGUAAUUCGAGGGUCUGGUAGCUGGCAACCUGGGGAGGAGAAGUCUUGUUCGAGUUUGAGGCUGGUGGAGCUGCUGAUCAGGGAGGAGCAAUUUUGUUGUAGUUCGAGGGUCAGGAAGCUGGUGACCCAGGGAGGAGAGGUCUUGUUCUGGUCUGAGGGUCCUGGAGCUACAGACCCAGGGAGGAGCAAUGUUGUUGUAAUUUGAGGGUUCGGUAGCUGGCACCCUGGGGAGGAGAAGUCUUGUUCUAGUUUGAGGGUGGUGGAGCUGCAGAGCCAGGGAGGAGCAGUGUUGUUGUAGUUUGAGGGUCAUGGAGGUACAGACCCAGGGAGGAGCCGUGUUGUUUUGAGUGUCGUGGAGCCGGAGAUCCACGGAGGAGCUGG
rnacentral:lncRNA from 1 species